UUUUAUCAAGGAAGAAGAUCUGACGGUACUUGAUGAAUAAGCCACGGCUAAUUCCGUGCCAGCAGCCGCGGUAAUACGGGAGUGGCAAGCGUUAUCCGGAAUUAUUGGGCGUAAAGCGUCCGCAGGCGGCCUUGUAAGUCUGUCGUCAAAGCGUGGAGCUUAACUCCAUUUAAGCGAUGGAAACUGCAAGGCUAGAGUGUGGUAGGGGCAGAGGGAAUUCCCGGUGUAGCGGUGAAAUGCGUAGAUAUCGGGAAGAACACCAGUGGCGAAGGCGCUCUGCUGGGCCAUAACUGACGCUCAUGGACGAAAGCCAGGGGAGCGAAAGGGAUUAGAUACCCCUGUAGUCCUGGCCGUAAACGAUGAACACUAGGUGUCGGGGGAAUCGACCCCCUCGGUGUCGUAGCCAACGCGUUAAGUGUUCCGCCUGGGGAGUACGCACGCAAGUGUGAAACUCAAAGGAAUUGACGGGGGCCCGCACAAGCGGUGGAGUAUGUGGUUUAAUUCGAUGCAACGCGAAGAACCUUACCAGGGUUUGACAUCCUGCGAAUCUCUUGGAAACGAGGGAGUGCCUUCGGGAGCGCAGAGACAGGUGGUGCAUGGCUGUCGUCAGCUCGUGUCGUGAGAUGUUGGGUUAAGUCCCGCAACGAGCGCAACCCACGUCGUUAGUUGCCAGCAUUUAGUUGGGCACUCUAGCGAGACCGCCGGUGAUAAACCGGAGGAAGGUGUGGAUGACGUCAAGUCAUCAUGCCCCUUACAUCCUGGGCUACACACGUACUACAAUGCUACGGACAAAGGGCAGCAAACUCGCGAGAGCUAGCAAAUCCCAUAAACCGUGGCUCAGUUCAGAUCGUAGGCUGCAACUCGCCUACGUGAAGGAGGAAUCGCUAGUAAUCGCAGGUCAGCAUACUGCGGUGAAUACGUUCCCGGGCCUUGUACACACCGCCCGUCACACCAUGG
rnacentral:rRNA from 1 species